UGCAAGUCGACGAUGAACCACCUUCGGGUGGGGAUUAGUGGCGAACGGGUGAGUAACACGUGGGCAAUCUGCCCUUCACUCUGGGACAAGCCCUGGAAACGGGGUCUAAUACCGGAUACUGACCUGCCAAGGCAUCUUGGCGGGUCGAAAGCUCCGGCGGUGAAGGAUGAGCCCGCGGCCUAUCAGCUUGUUGGUGAGGUAAUGGCUCACCAAGGCGACGACGGGUAGCCGGCCUGAGAGGGCGACCGGCCACACUGGGACUGAGACACGGCCCAGACUCCUACGGGAGGCAGCAGUGGGGAAUAUUGCACAAUGGGCGAAAGCCUGAUGCAGCGACGCCGCGUGAGGGAUGACGGCCUUCGGGUUGUAAACCUCUUUCAGCAGGGAAGAAGCGAAAGUGACGGUACCUGCAGAAGAAGCGCCGGCUAACUACGUGCCAGCAGCCGCGGUAAUACGUAGGGCGCAAGCGUUGUCCGGAAUUAUUGGGCGUAAAGAGCUCGUAGGCGGCUUGUCACGUCGGUUGUGAAAGCCCGGGGCUUAACCCCGGGUCUGCAGUCGAUACGGGCAGGCUAGAGUUCGGUAGGGGAGAUCGGAAUUCCUGGUGUAGCGGUGAAAUGCGCAGAUAUCAGGAGGAACACCGGUGGCGAAGGCGGAUCUCUGGGCCGAUACUGACGCUGAGGAGCGAAAGCGUGGGGAGCGAACAGGAUUAGAUACCCUGGUA
rnacentral:rRNA from 1 species